GACCGCUCCGGUGGCCUAGUGGUUAGAGAGUCCACCUCAGAUGCGAGAGGUCCUGGGUUCGAAUCCCGGCUGAGUCA